UACGUAGGGUGCGAGCGUUAAUCGGAAUUACGUGGGCGUAAAGCGUGCGCUAGGCGGUGAUGUAAGACAGAUGUGAAAUCCCCGGGCUCAACCUGGGACCUGCAUUUGUGACUGCAUCGCUAGGAGUACGGCAGAGGGGGAUGGAAUUCCGGCGUGUAAGCAGUGAAAUGCGUAGAUAUGCGGAGGAACACCGAUGGCGAAGGCAA
rnacentral:rRNA from 1 species